rnacentral:lncRNA from 1 species
CUGGGGGCCGUUCCCUGGGCUCGCCCCUCCAGCCGGGCUGUCAGCCCAGUGGGUGACCUCGCGUGGGACAGGUUCUGACUUCCUCACCUGGACACAGUCUCCGUAGGUGGGAGGCCUGCGGCUGCCACAUCAUGGCCGUGGGACCUGUGGACGCCCCCCACCCCCGCCAUGCCCGGUUUCCCAUAUGAAGCAGCCCAUCAGGGUGAUGAGACUACUGUACAGGCGGACAGGGGCCCUGGGAAGGGCCUGCCAGGUCCCCUUGCUGUGAGGGGACCGCCUCCGAGGGCCUCCUGGACAGCCAGCUGCGGCAAGGACUUUCUUGGCCUUACGUUGUGAGCUCACCCCCAGCCUCAGGUCGGGAAGUGGGCUCUUCCUUCAAGCAGGCACGGCUCCUGGGUAGCACUGCCCAGUGGUGGCCCCCGUGCAGACAGGGAUGUGGUAGAAAACAGACUCUCCCAGGGUGUUGGGACUAAGCACCUAAGAGAAACGACACCAAAAGAAAGCCAAGGACCCUCGCUUCCCAGGCUCCCCAUGAGGUUGGCCUUGGAGUCCCCGGAGCUGCUGCUGUGCCCUGAUGGGCCCCCCAGUUCCCCAAGCAGCCUUCCUGCUGAAGUGCUGAGGAGUUUGCUGUCACCCUGACCUUCCAUUAGUGUUCCCCAUACAAUCCCAUAACUAAGGUAACCUGCAAAGAUAACUGAGUUCCCUGUAGUUUGAAGUGGCCAAAGGAUGCAAAGAGCAGCACAUGGUAUGGAUCAAAUAGAUAGUAGCCGAUUCUAUUAGGUAAAGAAAAUGUCAACUUAAAGAGAAUGACUACUGGAGACAUUAGGGUGCCCUCUCUCAUCCACUCUUCCUCUUCUACAGUAGCACCCCCUAGUGUUUGGCUGCAGUUGGUUCAAAGGUAACAGAUGCCAUAAGGUGUACAGUCAGUGAGGUUGGGGACUUCUGUUUAGUUAAAGAUAACAUUUCUUUCAUUUGAUGUGAUUAAACAAACACAGAAGCUCGGAUUGCUGCUGUCAGAAUUUGCCACUACAGUAGAAGGCAGGCUGAGAACAAAUUGCUAAGAGGAAAAAGGAAGGACCAAGACCACCACGGAGGAGUCCAGGUCCACUGACGAUCAGUGAGUCUAAUUCAUUUUGGUAAGUGAGUCAGUUAGCAUUGGGAUUUGCUGUUUCAUGUAAUAGUGUAAAUAACUGGGAAAGAACAGUUUUACACUUUGAAAAAAAAUGAUCUCUUAAC